rnacentral:rRNA from 1 species
UAGGGAAUUUUGGGCAAUGGGCGAAAGCCUGACCCAGCAACGCCGCGUGUGGGAUGAAGGCCCUCGGGUCGUAAACCACUGUCAGGAGGAAAGAAAAGUCGGCCGGAUAAUACUCGGUCGACCUGACGGUACCUCCAAAGGAAGCACCGGCUAACUCCGUGCCAGCAGCCGCGGUAAUACGGAGGGUGCAAGCGUUGUUCGGAAUUACUGGGCGUAAAGCGCGUGUAGGUGGUCGAGUAAGUCGAAUGUGAAAGCCCCGGGCUCAACCCGGGAAGUGCAUCCGAAACUGCUCGACUAGAGUCCCGGAGAGGAAGGCAGAAUUCCCAAUGUAGGGGUGAAAUCCGUAGAUAUUGGGAGGAAUACCGGUGGCGAAGGCGGCCUUCUGGACGGUGACUGACACUGAGACGCGAAAGCGUGGGGAGCAAACAGGAUUAGAUACCCCCGUAGUCCCUGAGCGGGCUGGCAAGGCGCAU